AUCUCUGGCCAUGCUACCCUGAAUGUGCCCGAUCUCAUAUGAUCUCGGAAGCUAAACAGGGUCGGGCCUGGUUAGUACUUGGAUGGGAGACCACCUAGGAAUAUCAGGUGCUGUAGGCA
rnacentral:rRNA from 1 species